AAUAGAUACCCCGGUAGUCCACGCCGUAAACGAUGAGUGCUAAGUGUUAGGGGGUUUCCGCCCCUUAGUGCUGCAGCUAACGCAUUAAGCACUCCGCCUGGGGAGUACGACCGCAAGGUUGAAACUCAAAGAAAUUGACGGGGGCCCGCACAAGCGGUGGAGCAUGUGGUUUAAUUCGAAGCAACGCGAAGAACCUUACCAGGUCUUGACAUCCCAAUGACCGCUCUAGAGAUAGAGUUUUCCCUUCGGGGACAUUGGUGACAGGUGGUGCAUGGUUGUCGUCAGCUCGUGUCGUGAGAUGUUGGGUUAAGUCCCGCAACGAGCGCAACCCUUAUUCUUAGUUGCCAUCAUUUAGUUGGGCACUCUAAGGAGACUGCCGGUGACAAACCGGAGGAAGGUGGGGAUGACGUCAAAUCAUCAUGCCCCUUAUGACCUGGGCUACACACGUGCUACAAUGAACGGUACAAAGAGCUGCGAGCCCGCGAGGGUAAGCCAAUCUCAUAAAACCGUUCUCAGUUCGGAUUGUAGUCUGCAACUCGA
rnacentral:rRNA from 1 species